rnacentral:rRNA from 1 species
GAUGAACGCUGGCGGCGUGCCUAAUACAUGCAAGUCGAGCGAACAGACGAGGCGCUUGCUCCUCUGACGUUAGCGGCGGACGGGUGAGUAACACGUGUAUAACCUACCUAUAAGACUGGGAUAACUUCGGGACACCGGAGCUAAUACCGGAUAAUAUAUUGAACCACAUGGUUCGAUAGUGAAAGUCGGUUGUGCUGGCACUGAUAGAUGGAUCCGCGCCGCAUGAGCUAGUUGGUAAUGUAACGGGUUUCCAAGGCGAGGAUGCGUAUGCGACCGGAGAGGGGGAUCGGCGGCACUGGAGCUGAGACACGGACCAUACUACUACGGGAGGCAGCAGUAGGGAAUCGUACGCAAUGGGCGAAAGCCUGACGGAGCAGCGCCGCGUGAGUGAUGAAGGUCUUCGGAUCGGAAAAAUCGGUUAUUAGGGAAGAACAAAUGUGUAAGUAACUAUGCACGUAUUGACGGUACCUAGUCAGAAAGCAACGGCUAACUACGUG